CUGCCUGGGCAGCCCUUGGCCCCGACUCCUGCUCUAUUGGGAUAGAGGAGUAAGCUGGAUCUUCUGACUUUGCCAGCAUGCUCCAGAGCCGUGGGAUCAGCAACGUCGAGCUGCCCGCCCUCUGCAGCCAUCCCAUUCUCCGCGUGGAAAGCAGGCAGAGCCCGGCCUGAGUGGGACCACCCAGCCCAGCAAUGGCCUGCGAACCCAGGGCCCCGGUCUCCUCCUCCUCCUCCAUCAUCCGGGACACUUUGAGCGCUCUCCGUCGCCCUGUUCUCUUGUGCUGCUGGCUGGGCAGUCUUUCCCCCGGGCCUGGACUCCGCCUCCCCCUCCCCAAGGACUUGUGUCUUUGUACAGAUGUGGAUGGUUCAGCCCCCUCCCCUCCCCUCCCGGGGAUUCAGACAAAGCCUCUUCUGCCUUCCUCACUGCCACCCUGCUCGGAAACGGUUGGCCUGCCAGGGCUGCUUUCGGGUUUGCCCUUCUCAGUCCUUUGGUGCUCCCGCUUGGUGUAGCAGCCGGGCCGUGGGCACCUCCCUCCCUUCCCCAGCCUGGGAGGGCAGGGGGGCUUCCUGCCUUCUUCCCUGUGCUUCACUGCCAUGUGCCCCAGGGGAGCAUCCUCUUCCCCAGCUCCCCCUCGGAGCCUGAGCUGCCUGGGGUGAAGGGGGUGGGGCAGAGGCUCAGCCCAGCAGCUGAUGUUUGGGGCAGAGGAGCCGCCAGUCUCCCUCUGGGCAGGGGAGGAAGAGCUGUGCUGCUCUGGCCAGAGCCCUCCUGCCCCAUAGCUUCCCUCUCCUGAGGGCUCCUGCUGCCGCCAUAACCCUGGGCCGGUCCGAGGCUCCCCACCUCUGAAGGAUUCCCUCCGCUUGUGACUGGCUUCCCACCCCACCCUCCCCCCAGUAGAGCAGUGUUCGCUGGUGACAUGGAAGGAGAUGGAAGGUGGGUGGGUAGUGGGGAUGCAGCCCUUCUGGACCCCUCGAUGUGGCAAGCCAGGCGGGCAGAUGCUCCGGCCCCCCUCCCAUGCUGCCUGGGGGCCGUGACGUGCCUUGGCCCCGUUCCUCCCCCCCCUUUCUGUGGUGCCAUCCUUUCCCUUCCCUGCCUCCCGAAAUCUCCACCCCGCCCCCCCCAAGGCUUGGCGUGUUUCUAUAUUUAUAAGAAUAAACUCCUCCUGUGUGGCCUG